rnacentral:rRNA from 1 species
UAAUACAUAANNAACCUGACAUCUACAGGGGGAUAACUGAUGGAAACGUNAGCUGAGACCGCAUAGGUGUAGAGAUCGCAUGAACUCUAUAUGAAAAGUGCUACGGGACUGGUAGAUGAUGGACUUAUGGCGCAUUAGCUUGUUGGUAGGGUAACGGCCUACCAAGGCGACGAUGCGUAGCCGACCUGAGAGGGUGACCGGCCACACUGGGACUGAGACACGGCCCAGACUCCUACGGGAGGCAGCAGUAGGGAAUUUUCGGCAAUGGGGGAAACCCUGACCGAGCAACGCCGCGUGAAGGAAGAAGUAAUUCGUUAUGUAAACUUCUGUCAUAGAGGAAGAACGGUGGUUNUNGGGAAUGAUAUCCAAGUGACGGUACUCUAUAAGAAAGCCACGGCUAACUACGUGCCAGCAGCCGCGGUAAUACGUAGGUGGCGAGCGUUAUCCGGAAUUAUUGGGCGUAAAGAGGGAGCAGGCGGCACUAAGGGUCUGUGGUGAAAGAUCGAAGCUUAACUUCGGUAAGCCAUGGAAACCGUAGAGCUAGAGUGUGUGAGAGGAUCGUGGAAUUCCAUGUGUAGCGGUGAAAUGCGUAGAUAUAUGGAGGAACACCAGUGGCGAAGGCGACGAUCUGGCGCAUAACUGACGCUCAGUCCCGAAAGCGUGGGGAGCAAAUAGGAUUAGAUACCCUAGUAGUCCACGCCGUAAACGAUGAGUACUAAGUGU